ensembl:lncRNA
CACAAUGGAGCCUGGACAACAAUGAUGAUCUUUCAUCAUGAAGUUGUACAUUCGCAAGACACGUUUCCUGCAAUAUUUGAAUAGGUUUGGCUGUGAAAGAUAAAUGUGAAAGAGCUUUCGCUGCAACAAAUCCACGGCUGGCCAUGUCAUUUCAGGUGCUUAUUCCUCCAAAAGGAUUAUUCAAUAUCGAUUCCAAAAGGAUUGUUCAGGCCUUCAGCGACGCAAACUUUCCACAGCGGUACAACCAGUUCCUGCUGCUUACAGUAUAAACUGUCUCACAAUGUAAAACAUCAGACCACCUAUGAAGGAGAGGCUAUUUUGCACCGAUGUUUGUUUCAAUUGGCUGUCAACCAGUUUUGGCUCAGGAACCAGAGGCACCGGUGGUCUUUUGUUACCGCAGGUGUCCCUGCAAUAUUGUCUCUGGCCGAGGUUUGCUGAAUAAAGAUGCACAUGGACUUGAAGAGACAAUCCACCACUAGAAUCAGAACAUGUGAAAAGCAGACGACCCAACUGAGACGGAGAAAGAAGUCCAUCCCCUAGUCGCAGGUGUGUGAGUUUGGGCAGACGGGGCCGGCGUGAG